AUAUGGCUUUCAACGAUUACCCGUGAACCUGGUCAGAGCCGGAAGGCAGCAGCCACAGCGGGAACAUUGUGUGCCGGGGUGUGGCUGGUGGGG
rnacentral:SRP_RNA from 1 species